GUCUACGGCCAUGCCACCCUGCACAUGCCCGAUCUCAUCUGAUCUCAGAAGCUAAGCAGGGUCAGGCCGGGUUAGUACUUGGAUGGGAGACCGCCUAGGAAGACGAGGUGCUGUAGGUG
rnacentral:rRNA from 1 species